ACCCUGGUGGCUCAGAUGGUUAAAGCACCUGUUUGCAAUGCAGGAGACCCAGGUUCGAUCCCUGGGUUGGGAA
rnacentral:tRNA from 1 species